AGCGCCGGAGUGCUGUCACAUGGCUGAGUGAAGUCCUGCAGCAGAGCCACACUGGGAAGUCCCCUCAGCACGAACAUACAGUCAUCUGUGAAAUAUACAAGUAUUUACCAUUUGGAAGAAUUUACAGUCGACCGCAUGUCUUGCAGGCCUACAUUCAGAACUAAUAGGACAAAAUAGAAAAAAGAAACAGGCUAAUGACAUAAAGGACAAUAUUUUGCAUGUUGCCUAAUGAAUAGCUUAUAUAUAUGAUUAAUAGUUUCUAUAUUGUCCUUUUAAUGCAGGUGAUUCAUUUUAAUAUGCCUAAAUAAUGACAUUCACAAGGACUUUCAUCAUUUCAGGCAGUCUUUGGAUGUAUGUUUGAUGCAUGUUUGAUUUGCAUGCUCAAAACCACUUAGUAAAUGUGAUAAUAUUAUAUCUUUAUAAUUAAUAUUUAUGUAGUUAAUGUACCUUAUGGAAAGCUGUGCUGUAAACUGUGUAUCUCUGCUCAUCAGG